rnacentral:rRNA from 1 species
AUGCCGCGUGCAGGAAGAAGGCCUUCGGGUUGUAAACUGCUUUUGUCAGGGAAGAAAUCCUCUGGGUUAAUACCUCGGGGGGAUGACGGUACCUGAAGAAUAAGCACCGGCUAACUACGUGCCAGCAGCCGCGGUAAUACGUAGGGUGCGAGCGUUAAUCGGAAUUACUGGGCGUAAAGCGUGCGCAGGCGGCUUUGCAAGACAGAUGUGAAAUCCCCGGGCUCAACCUGGGAACUGCAUUUGUGACUGCAAGGCUAGAGUACGGUAGAGGGGGAUGGAAUUCCGCGUGUAGCAGUGAAAUGCGUAGAUAUGCGGAGGAACACCAAUGGCGAAGGCAAUCCCCUGGACCUGUACUGACGCUCAUGCACGAAAGCGUGGGGAGCAAACAGGAUUAGAUACCCUGGUAGUCCACGCCCUAAACGAUGUCAACUGGUUGUUGGACGGCUUGCUGUUCAG